UACGUAGGUGGCGAGCGUUGUCCGGAUUUACUGGGCGUAAAGAGCGCGCAGGCGGUCGUCCAAGUCGCGUGUGAAAGCCCCCGGCUCAACUGGGGAGGGUCACGCGAUACUGUUCGACUCGAAGGCAGGAGAGGGAAGUGGAAUUCCCGGUGUAGUGGUGAAAUGCGUAGAUAUCGGGAGGAACACCAGUGGCGAAGGCGACUUCCUGGCCUGUUCUUGACGCUGAGGCGCGAAAGCUAGGGUAGCAAACGGG
rnacentral:rRNA from 1 species